CGCCAUAGCAUUUUUGGCAGACGGAUUAUAUAAUCACGAUAUUGAUCUUAGACGGACACCGCUUUAAAUCUUGUACAGAAAUACUUCGAGAUGAAGCAAUUCCUGGUAUGUUGUCUGGUUGUUGUGCUGCUUGGGGCAGCUUUAGUUCAGAGUGCUUCUACCUCUACUACCAUCACUAGUGCCACCACUGAUCCCGGUAAUGGUACUACUGCUGGAGGGAACACUGGGACACCAACAACGCCAAUGACACCGCUUUGGUUCAUGUUGGCAACCUCCCUAGCAAUUCUACAGGCAUACCUGAACUGAAUGGAUAACAGCAAUAGGAGUGGCGCUAUCUAUCCCUUGACAGAUCGGACCGAAAAUGGACAAAGCUAGCUUAAGCACACCUCUUUCUUGUUUUUUCACCGAGUGAUUGUUUUAAAUCUUUGUAACGCAAUGAAACUGCUGUCUUCAA